UCCCUGGUGGCUCAGAUGGUAAAGCAUCUGCCUACAAUGCAGGAGACCCGGGUUCAACCCCUGGGGAGGGAA
rnacentral:tRNA from 1 species